rnacentral:rRNA from 1 species
CCUCGGGAGGCAGCAGUGGGGAAUCUUAGACAAUGGGGGCAACCCUGUAUCUAGCCAUGCCGCGUGAGUGAUGAAGGCCUUAGGGUCGUAAAGCUCUUUCGCCUGUGAUGAUAAUGACAGUAGCAGGUAAAGAAACCCCGGCUAACUCCGUGCCAGCAGCCGCGGUAAUACGGAGGGGGUUAGCGUUGUUCGGAAUUACUGGGCGUAAAGCGCGCGUAGGCGGAUUAGAAAGUUGGGGGUGAAAUCCCGGGGCUCAACCCCGGAACUGCCUCCAAAACUGCUAGUCUAGAGUUCGAGAGAGGUGAGUGGAAUUCCGAGUGUAGAGGUGAAAUUCGUAGAUAUUCNGAGGAACACCGGUGGCGAAGGCGGCUCACUGUGCUCGAUACUGACGCUGAGGUGCGAAAGUGUGGGGAGCAAACACGAUUAUAUACCCUGG